UACGAAGGGGGCUAGCGUUGCUCGGAAUUACUGGGCGUAAAGGGCGCGUAGGCGGAUAGUUUAGUCAGAGGUGAAAGCCCAGGGCUCAACCUUGGAAUUGCCUUUGAUACUGGCUGUCUUGAGUAUGGGAGAGGUGAGUGGAACUCCGAGUGUAGAGGUGAAAUUCGUAGAUAUUCGGAAGAACACCAGUGGCGAAGGCGACUCACUGGCCCGAUUACUGACGCUGAGGCGCGAAAGCGUGGGGAGCAAACAGG
rnacentral:rRNA from 1 species